AUCGACCAUUAUUUUCACAGGGGAAAAAGGCAUCUUGCUUCUAUGGUGGAGCACCUCCGUGUUGUGCUGGUGCAUGAAAGCUUUUCUGGGCCUUCCUGGUACGUUCCCUCCGAUCUCUGUAGAUGCCCAACCAACGGAGAUGUUUCUGAACUUCAUCAAUUUAUUAUUUUCACUAUAUUAAUGUGUUCAUGAAUUUUAAGAUUCAUAGUUUUUAUAUUUGAGAUUCAAAGAUUUUUUAUUCAAUUUUAUUUGAAGAUCGAUGACCAAUAAAGAAGAAUAAAAUCAAUAUUACUCAAUGAGCAAUUAUAUUUUUAUUUCUUUAUUUUUUUAGUAAAAAUACAAUAAGCGAAUUAAUAAGGUGAAGCACUAAAUAUUAUCGAAAAUUCCAUAAUUUACAAAAAUAUUUUUAAAUUGUGGAAUUUUUUUUUCUAAAAAUUAGAAUUAUAAUUUAUUUAUUUAUUGUAUUUUUUUGCUGCAAUUGGCUAUUGUUUGGCUGCUAUUUUGCUGCUGCUGUUUUUGCUGCUAUUUUUGCUGCUGUUUUUUUUUGGCUUUGUUGCAAUUUGCUGCUGUUUGGCUCCUAAUUUGCAGCUGGUUUUGUUGCUGUUUUUGUUGUUGUUUUCGUGUUGGUUUGUUGGUUUUUAAGAUGUUGGUUUGCUGUUGUUUUUUGUUGCUGUCAUUUUUUCUCUAUAUCCAUAAAUAAAUUCUAUAUAAUGGUUAACAAAAUAGAAGUGACAACUAGUCGAAUUGUUGAAUGAGCUAUUAUAUAUGAGAUUUUCAAUACACUUUUGAGGCUCCUUCAUGUUUUCGGUCACUAUUUGUUAUUAUACUUUUGCUGUAAUUUUUUAGUGGAUUAACUUAUUUCGUAGUGGAUUAUGUUAAUAUUUUAAUGGAUUUCGAUAAUUUUUGUAGUAGGUUCUGACGAGAUUAUAGUGGAUUUUAAAUUCUUGCUUUGGAGACCGAUUUUUAGUGAAUGAAUUAAAUUGACACGUUGUUGUCUUAUUUUUCUUUGGUUUAGGUUCUUGCACAAGCGGGUGAUGGCAGCAAGUGGGACGAUGUUGGGUGAUGAUAAGUUUGUAGUGUUUAUCACCGGGUCACUCUAACCUAACGAAAACCACGAGCAACACUAUCAUAAAUUCGGAAGUUUGUAGUGGAUUUUGAUAAGUUUGUUGUUGAUGUAUAAGUGUUAUUCUACGAUAAGAUUUUAGUGGAUUAACCAUAUAUUACGUUAAUUUUGUAGUGGAUUACUUUAACCUAUAAAGUGGA
rnacentral:lncRNA from 1 species